rnacentral:rRNA from 1 species
AUUGAACGCUGGCGGCAGGCCUAACACAUGCAAGUCGAGCGGUAGCACGGAGAGCUUGCUCUCGGGUGACGAGCGGCGGACGGGUGAGUAAUGUCUGGGAAACUGCCUGAUGGAGGGGGAUAACUACUGGAAACGGUAGCUAAUACCGCAUAACGUCGCAAGACCAAACUGGGGGGCCUUAGGGCCUCAUGCCAUCAGAUGUGCCCAGAUGGGAUUAGCUGGUAGGUGGGGUAACGGCUCACCUAGGCGACGAUCCCUAGCUGGUCUGAGAGGAUGACCAGCCACACUGGAACUGAGACACGGUCCAGACUCCUACGGGAGGCAGCAGUGGGGAAUAUUGCACAAUGGGCGCAAGCCUGAUGCAGCCAUGCCGCGUGUGUGAAGAAGGCCUUCGGGUUGUAAAGCACUUUCAGCGGGGAGGAAGGCGGUGAGGUUAAUAACCUCACCGAUUGACGUUACCCGCAGAAGAAGCACCGGCUAACUCCGUGCCAGCCGCCGCCGUAA